GACCGAUGUAGUCGCCUUCCACAUGGCACUGCAGAGUCCCAAGACCAUGGUCCUCCUGAAUAGGAUAACUAAGGAAAAGACAAACUGAGGCUGUAUCCCAGACCAAGGCUGAGAUGGGAUCACCUAGCAAAAUAUGGCACAUUCCCAAGGAUGUAGUAGGAGUUUCUACCCCCCACAAGAAGAGUAGUUUUCUUGUAAGGGCAAAAUCAGACAGAUGGAGUAGAACAGAAGAGGAUGCCCCCAACCCAUCCAGAGUGAAGGAAAAAUUAGACACCAUGUAUGGAAUCUAUGC